rnacentral:rRNA from 1 species
GACGAACGCUGGCGGCGUGCUUAACACAUGCAAGUCGAGCGGUAAGGCCCUUUCGGGGGUACGACGAGCGGCGAACGGGUGAGUAACACGUGGGUGACCUGCCCUCAGCUUUGGGAUAAGCCUGGGAAACCGGGGUACUAAUACCGGAUAUGACUCCGUGACGCAUGUUGUGGGGUGGAAAGCCUUGUGCGGCUGAGGAUGGGCCCGCGGCCUAUCAGCUUGUUGGUGGGGUGAUGGCCUACCAAGGCGACGACGGGUAGCCGGCCUGAGA